rnacentral:rRNA from 1 species
AACGAACGCUGGCGGCAUGCCUAACACAUGCAAGUCGAACGAGACCUUCGGGUCUAGUGGCGCACGGGUGCGUAACGCGUGGGAACCUGCCCUUAGGUUCGGAAUAACUCCCCGAAAGGUGUGCUAAUACCGGAUAAUGUCUUCGGACCAAAGAUUUAUCGCCUUUGGAUGGGCCCGCGUUGGAUUAGCUAGUUGGUAGGGUAAAAGCCUACCAAGGCGACGAUCCAUAGCUGGUCUGAGAGGAUGAUCAGCCACACUGGGACUGAGACACGGCCCAGACUCGUACGGGAGGCAGCAGUGGGGAAUAUUGGACAAUGGGCGAAAGCCUGAUCCGGCAAUGCCGCGUGAGUGAUGAAGGCCUUAGGGUUGUAAAGCUCUUUUAGCCGGGAUGAUAAUGACAGUACCGGGAGAAUAAGCUCCGGCUAACCACGUG